rnacentral:rRNA from 1 species
AUUGAACGCUGGCGGCAGGCCUAACACAUGCAAGUCGAGCGGUGCGGCGGACGGGUGGGUAAUGCCUAGGAAUCUGCCUGGUAGUGGGGGAUACCGUCCGGAAACGGGCGCUAAUAUCGCAUACUAUCAGAUGAGCCUCGGUCGGGUUAGCUAGUUGGUGGGGUAACGGCCUACGAAGGCGACGAUCCUUAACUGGUCUGAGAGGAUGAUCAGUCAAACGGGAACUGAGUAACGGUGACGGAUCCUAUGAGAGUGAGUAAGUGGGAAUGUUGGAGAAUGGGCGAAGGCCAGCUGAAGGCAUGCCGGGUCGGGGAAGAAGGUAUUCGGAUAGUAAAGCACGUUAAGUUGGGCGGCGUUACCUUUAGAAUCUGCCCCUGCUGACGUCGUGCUAGCAGCCGCGGUAAUUC